rnacentral:ribozyme from 1 species
UCAUCGAAGAAGAGAUUGGAGGGCGCCAGAUAAAGUUUGAAACUGGAUUAAAACGAAACCUGCUCAUAGUUGAUGCCGCAAGAAGGGGGCAAGCAAAAAUUAAAAUCAUUUAUGGUACAUGAAAAA